rnacentral:rRNA from 1 species
GAUGAACGCUGGCGGCGUGCCUAAUACAUGCAAGUCGAGCGAACAGACGAGGAGCUUGCUCCUCUGAUGUUAGCGGCGGACGGGUGAGUAACACGUGGAUAACCUACCUAUAAGACUGGGAUAACUUCGGGAAACCGGAGCUAAUACCGGAUAACAUGUUGAACCGCAUGGUUCAACAGUGAAAGACGGUCUUGCUGUCACUUAUAGAUGGAUCCGCGCCGCAUUAGCUAGUUGGUAAGGUAACGGCUUACCAAGGCAACGAUGCGUAGCCGACCUGAGAGGGUGAUCGGCCACACUUGAACUGAGACACGGUCCAGACUCCUACGGGAGGCAGCAGUAGGGAAUCUUCCGCAAUGGGCGAAAGCCUGACGGAGCAACGCCGCGUGAGUGAAGAAGGUCUUCGGAUCGUAAAACUCUGUUAUUAGGGAAGAACAAAUGUGUAAGUAACUAUGCACGUCUUGACGGUACCUAAUCAGAAAGCCACGGCUAACUACGUG